AUUCAGCUGUGCUGAUAGUUUAAUUAAUGCCAUUAAUAUAUAUAACUCACUAAAAACUGUUUUAUGGUAACACUAAGUUGGCAAAGCAAGGAAAUUUCAGAGGUAAAGCUACAGCAUAACACUUCCCUUUGUUUCCAGGUAGUACAAGAUUCUCCAGACAGUGGGUGAACUCACAGACUACACGAGUAACAAAAAACCAAGUUGUAAUGAGCUGAGAGCACCCUUUAGAUGUGCCGCUCCAACCAAGAUGCUCACCUGCAUUACUUUACACCAAACAAGGCACCUGCUGCACCAGCACAUCAGUCAGGUUGCUAUGAAGUCAGAAGAAGCAACCUAAGAGAACAGAGCACAGAGCUGCUAGAGGAACGCAUGUGGGAGGAGAACUGAUAGGGGCAUGCGAAGACCUGUGGUGAGAAGCCAAAAACCACAUUCAGGUUAUGCAUCUGCUUGACAAAUAAAGAUA